rnacentral:rRNA from 1 species
UACAGAGGUGGCAAGCGUUGUUCGGAAUUACUGGGCGUAAAGGGCGCGUAGGCGGCCGCCUAAGUCAGACGUGAAACCCCCAGGCUUAACCUGGGAACUGCGUCUGAUACUGGGUGGCUUGAGUUCGGGAGAGGAAUGUGGAAUUCCAGGUGUAGCGGUGAAAUGCGUAGAUAUCUGGAGGAACACCGGUGGCGAAGGCGGCAUUCUGGACCGAAACUGACGCGUGAGGCGCGAAAGCCAGGGGAGCAAACGGG